rnacentral:lncRNA from 1 species
CUUUGCUUUUGGCUCAAAGCUUGCUUUCGCAGGCAUUUCUGGAGGUGGUGCAGUCACCAACCCUGGGGGUGUUCAAGAAACAUUGAGCUUUUGUACCUAGGGGCGUGGAGUCAUGGGACAUAUUGGUGAUAGGUGGAUGGUUGGAGCCCUUGGAGGUCAUUUCCAGCCUUGCCGAUUCCCUGAGUCCUGUUUCUUAGCUCCAGAAUUCCACUGUCUCCUUCCCAAGGGUCAACAGGUAUUUGUCGACGGGGUGUAACGCCUCUCAUGCACGAAGAAGACAUUUGGGAAUUGGGAUGGAUUUUAUUGACAUGAUUGGUGACAGGGUGACAAUGGUGACAGACCCCUCAUGCUUGUGCAGACCCAAUGGUGUCCCGAUGAAGGGCCGCAGUGUGUUGUGGGGUCAGAAAAGAGCGGGCUUAGGUGGACGGAUGCCAAGGGCAGUCGCCAGCUCUCCAGGCAGGACCCAGUGAAGGAUGUCCUUCUGCAGCACAAACAGGGUGA